AUCGAACGCUGGCGGCAGGCCUAACACAUGCAAGUCGAGCGGAUGAAGGGAGCUUGCUCCUGGACUCAGCGGCGGACGGGUGAGAAAUGCCUAGGAAUCUGCCUGGUCGCGGGGGAAAACGUCCGGAAACGGGCGCUAAUACCGCAUACGACCUGAGGGCGCAAGUGGGGGAUCUUCGGACCUCACGCCAUCAGAUGAGCCUAGGUGGGAUCAGCUAGUUGGUGGGGUAAAGGCCUACCAAGGCGGCGAUCCGUAACUGGUCCGAGAGGAUGACCAGUCACACUGGAACUGAGACACGGCCCAGACUCCUGCGGUAGGCAGCAGUCGGGAAUCUUGCGCGAUGGGGGAGUGCCGGAUCUAGCCAAGCCGCGUGAAUGAUGAAGGACUUCUGAUUGUUGAGCGCUGUAAGUUUUAGGGUUGGACAGUAAGUUAAUCCCUGACUGUUUUGACGUUACCAGCAGAAUAAGCACCGGCUAACUUCGUG
rnacentral:rRNA from 1 species